rnacentral:rRNA from 1 species
AUUGAACGCUGGCGGCAUGCCUUACACAUGCAAGUCGAGCGGUAACGGGCCUUCGGGUGCCGACGAGUGGCGAACGGGUGAGUAAUACAUCGGAACGUGCCCGAUCGUGGGGGAUAACGAGGCGAAAGCUUUGCUAAUACCGCAUACGAUCUACGGAUGAAAGCAGGGGACCGCAAGGCCUUGCGCGGACGGAGCGGCCGAUGGCAGAUUAGGUAGUUGGUGGGAUAAAAGCUUACCAAGCCGACGAUCUGUAGCUGGUCUGAGAGGAUGAUCAGCCACACUGGGACUGAGACACGGCCCAGACUCCUACGGGAGGCAGCAGUGGGGAAUUUUGGACAAUGGGCGCAAGCCUGAUCCAGCCAUGCCGCGUGCAGGAUGGAGGCCUUCGGGUUGUAAACUGCUUUUGUACGGAACGAAAAGCCUUCUUUUAAUACAGGAGGGUCAUGACGGUACCGUAAGAAUAAGCACCGGCUAACUACGUG